rnacentral:rRNA from 1 species
UCGAGGGGUAUAUGUCUUCGGAUAUAGAGACCGGCGCACGGGUGCGUAACGCGUAUGCAAUCUACCUUUUACAGAGGGAUAGCCCAGAGAAAUUUGGAUUAAUACCUCAUAGUAUAGUGACUCGGCAUCGAGAUACUAUUAAAGUCACAACGGUAAAAGAUGAGCAUGCGUCCCAUUAGCUAGUUGGUAAGGUAACGGCUUACCAAGGCUACGAUGGGUAGGGGUCCUGAGAGGGAGAUCCCCCACACUGGUACUGAGACACGGACCAGACUCCUACGGGAGGCAGCAGUGAGGAAUAUUGGACAAUGGGCGCAAGCCUGAUCCAGCCAUGCCGCGUGCAGGAUGACGGUCCUAUGGAUUGUAAACUGCUUUUGUACGAGAAGAAACACUCCUUCGUGAAGGAGCUUGACGGUAUCGUAAGAAUAAGGAUCGGCUAACUCCGUGCCAGCAGCCGCGGUAAUACGGAGGAUCCAAGCGUUAUCCGGAAUCAUUGGGUUUAAAGGGUCCGUAGGCGGUUUAGUAAGUCAGUGGUGAAAGCCCAUCGCUCAACGGUGGAACGGCCAUUGAUACUGCUAAACUUGAAUUAUUAGGAAGUAACUAGAAUAUGUAGCGUAGCGGUGAAAUGCUUAGAGAUUACAUGGAAUACCAAUUGCGAAGGCAGGUUACUACUAAUGGAUUGACGCUGAUGGACGAAAGCGUGGGUAGCGAACAGGAUUAGAUACCCUGGUAGUCCACGCCGUAAACGAUGGAUACUAGCUGUUGGAAGCAAUUUCAGUGGCUAAGCGAAAGUGAU